rnacentral:rRNA from 1 species
AUUGAACGCUGGCGGCAUGCUUUACACAUGCAAGUCGAACGGUAACAGGCUACAAGGUGCUGACGAGUGGCGAACGGGUGAGUAAUGCAUCGGAACGUGCCCAGUCGUGGGGGAUAACGCAGCGAAAGCUGCGCUAAUACCGCAUACGAUCUAUGGAUGAAAGCGGGGGACCGUAAGGCCUCGCGCGAUUGGAGCGGCCGAUGUCAGAUUAGGUAGUGGGUGGGGUAAAGGCCCACCAAGCAAACGAUAUGUAGCUGGUCUGAGAGGACGACCAGCCACACUGGGACUGAGACACGGCCCAGACUCCUACGGGAGGCAGCAAUGGGGAAUUUUGGACAAUGGGCGCAAGCCUGAUCCAGCAAUGCCGCGUGCAGGAAGAAGGCCUUCGGGUUGUAAACUGCUUUUGUACGGAACGAAAAGGCUCUGGAUAAUACCUGGGGCUCAUGACGGUACCGUAAGAAUAAGCACCGGCUAACUACGUGCCAGCCGCCGCCGUAAAAC